AUUGAACGCUGGCGGCAGGCCUAACACAUGCAAGUCGAACGAGUGGCGGACGGGUGAGUAAUGUCUGGGAAACUGCCCGAUGGAGGGGGAUAACUACUGGAAACGGUGGCUAAUACCGCAUACUAUCGGAUGUGCCCAUAUGGGAUUAGCUAGGAGGUGGGGUAACGGCUCACCUAGGCGACGAUCCCUAGCUGGUCUGAGAGGAUGAACAGCCACACUGGAACUGAGACACGGCCCAGACUCCUACGGGAGGCAGCAGUGGGGAAUAUUGCACAAUGGGCGCAAGCCUGAUGCAGCCAUGCCGCGUGUAUGAAGAAGGCCUUAGGGUUGUAAAGUACUUUCAGCGAGGAGGCGUUACUCGCAGAAGAAGCACCGGCUAACUCCGUGCCAGCCGCCGCGGUAAUUC
rnacentral:rRNA from 1 species